rnacentral:rRNA from 1 species
GAUGAACGCUAGCGGCAGGCUUAAUACAUGCAAGUCGAGGGGCAGCAGGUCUGUAGCAAUACAGAUGCUGGCGACCGGCAAACGGGUGCGGAACACGUACAGAACCUUCCUUCGAGCGGGGAAUAGCCCAGAGAAAUUUGGAUUAAUACCCCAUAGUACAUUGAAGAGGCAUCUCUUUAAUAUUAAAGAUUUAUCACUUGAAGAUGGCUGUGCGGCNGAUUAGGUAGUUGGCGGGGUAACGGCCCACCAAGCCUACGAUCAGUAACUGGUGUGAGAGCACGACCAGUCACACGGGCACUGAGACACGGGCCCGACUCCUACGGGAGGCAGCAGUAAGGAAUAUUGGUCAAUGGACGCAAGUCUGAACCAGCCAUGCCGCGUGGAGGAUGAAGGUCCUCUGGAUUGUAAACUUCUUUUAUAU